UUUUUUUCUCUCUCAUCAUUCUUCCUAUUUUAAAGCAUCGUGGAAUGAAAUAUGCAAAUCCAAAUGGACCUCGCUGUUGCUCAGGUUCAAACUCUGUCACUCUAAAGGGAAGGCAGUUGAUCUAUGGCUGUUAAUUUUCAUAGAUACAGUCUGUAAUGGGGUUGUUGAUGAAUUUUGGAAUAUGAAUCUAUUUUCAUGAUUUCCCCCAGCAUUGUUACCAGGAGGACCAGGAGGACCUCUUGGACCUUCAGGGCCUGGAUCCCCAGUGGGUCCAGGUGCGCCUGUUGGGCCAGGGGGACCAGGUGGUCCUACAGCACCUGUGUCACCAGUUGGGCCAGGAGCGCCUGUUGGGCCUGGCGGGCCAUUGGGACCGACUGCCCCUGUGUCUCCCGUGGGUCCUGUAGGGCCAGUUGCACCAGUAGGGCCAAUUGCUCCAGUUGCACCAGUGGGACCAGUUGGUCCUGUAGCUCCAGUAGCACCAGUUUCUCCGGGAGGACCUAUUACAACGAAUCAUGAUCGCGUACUACGCCUCUAAUGAAGGGUGGCCGAUUGGCAUGAGCCUCACUUUUCUGAUAGGAGAUUUCGAACGAGAAUCACGUGCAGGGGAAAAGUCAUGCUGCUGUGACGCUAAAGGACCGCCUUUUCCCCGCACAGGUAUUCGAACUGUGUUCCGCUGACGGGUGACUUAUUGAUUAGUCUAGACUACUAGAUAUGUUUCACUGUAACAGAUAACAUAUAUAGCCCACCUGUUACAUUCACUGGUGGAUGACUCUGCAGUUCAGGAUCCGUCUCGAAUUUGAUGUUGUUUUAGUUUUAAGAACCAUUUUAAUGGCAAACUCUUUAAAUGGUUUUUUAAAGCCUAUGUAAAAACCCACCUAAUUAACAGCGACGAUGACAUUCAUCCCAAGUUUGUUGUACUGCAAUAUUCAUCGAAAUCGUUUUGAUUUAAUUUCUGGAAUUGAUUCAAUUGUAAACCUCUGAUUGACAAAACUAACGGGCCUAUGUUUUGAGAAAGAUUGUGUCCCCAUUUAUCACGAUUUUCUUUUUAACUUUAGCAUCGGUGUUAUGGGAAAUUCUCAUACCUUCAGUAAAACGGGAGUGUUUAAAACUAAUAAUAAUAGUAAUAAUAGCAGUGCAAUUGCUGAAAUAUGUUUUUGGACUUGGUCAACUCUGCGGCGACCGCAGUGGGUGUAUCUCCCACAGCGGGGUGAGAAAAUAUCAUCACGGGAUAAAGCACCACUACAAUCGCGAGCAAUUUGCUUGAAACGCAAGCGAAGCUAUCAUAAUUCACUCGACACUGGCCAUAUCGAAGUGGGUAGAUAGCGCGUCUAACGAGCUAGCGCAAGACCGUCGUCAUUUAAGCAGAGCAACGGCAGACAAAGCAAAUCAUCGUCCGUCCUCGAUGAACUUGUGCUAACCAACCAUCUGCUUCAAGCCAAACUGACAAUGUAACGCGCUACGGAGCAGCUCUAUAUGUUGAGCAGCGGCGGUUACACCGACAGCCGCGCCUUUUUUUUUGCCAAGCAUGUCGUCAUAUCUAUGCUGUGGUGAACGCACCAGUGGAAACGUUUCGGCUGGGAAAGUAUUAGCUCUAUAAAUGAUUACAUGUAAUCAAUGACAUCAUAUAGAGAUGUGCAGUUACACUUGUUUUCGCCUUACUUAACUUAAUACCGGCUUGUCUUGGUUAGCCGUCUUUCUGACGUGUCUCCGAGUUUGCUGGAAUGUUAACGUUCAUUUCCCAAUUUCAGUCAUUGACUAGGUUGCAGCCACCUGUUGUUGAAAACACAUCUAUACACUUCACAAGUUUUGCCCAGUUCUAGACCAGUUUUUGGUAACUAGUCUAUACAAAAUUCAAACAUAUAAUUUCAUUUUCUUGUAUUUAUAGUCCCAUAUCCUAUGAUUGGCAUGAAAACUACACCCAGUAUACACACCUUAACCGCUUUUACUUGUUGUGAAUUUUUAAAGAUACACUGAUAAAUAUCGAUUCGUUUAGGGAGCAGGUGCACCGGGUUCACCAGGUUCACCGGGUUCACCAGCGGCACCAGGUUCACCAGCGGCACCAGGUUCACCAGCGGCACCAGGUUCACCAGCAGCUCCAGCAGCACCAGGUUCACCGGGAGGACCAGCAGCACCAGGUUCACCAGGAGAACCGGGUGGACCCUGCGGUCCUGCUGGGCCUAUAAAAUCGUUCGGAAAUCUUGUGCUUUACAUCGUGCUGUGAACAUGUACCUUAUGAAAAAUUCUACAUAUUUUUGAAAAAUGUCCUCUUUGUCAACAAGUUUACAAAGCGGACAUGAAUUCCUACGGCCGAAGGCCUACGUUAAAUGAAUUCCUACGGCCGUAGGCCGUUACUACUACUACUACUACGUAGUAGUAGGUAAUACAUGAUGUCCUCUUUGUAAACAAAGGUUGACAAAGAGGACAUCUUUAGGUUGAACAACUUCAUCGUAGACGAUAGGCGUAAUUUUUUUUAAAAUUAAAUCAUACCAGUUGGCCCUCUCAGCAAUUGUUGCAAAACACCCCACUUAAAUCCGAAAAGACUGGAUAAAAUGAAUCGAGGAUCUUUCCUGAGAUUUAACCGGGAUUCGAUGAAUUCUUCUUCUUGAUCCGCAUACGGCCCUAGUGUACGUGUAAACGUUUAAGAAAUUCAGAUGAAAAUGCUUGAUUAUUACCAAAGAGUCCUCUCACGAGCGGCAAUCCACCUUUGGAAAUGGGCUGCUCGUUGUAGACUUGAUCCCUCACUGCCAAUGGGUUUUCCGAUUGCUGCUCUUCUCCAAG